UUUGCAGCCUUGAGCUACACAGCCUUAACUCCUCACAGCUGUCUCCAUGGUAUCACAGACCUCCCUAUCACCUUCCAACUGCUUCUGUGACACCACCCUCACUGCUAUUUCCUGGCUGCAGGGCAUUUCAGCUCCUUAAAAGGACCAAGGCAGACAGACAUUUAUCAACACCUCCCAGCGUUUUCCCCUGUAGAUAGAGAAGAAUUGCAACAAACUGAAAGAGGAGAACAAGGAAGAGAACGAAAUAAACAACAGGAAUUGAAAUGAAAGCUAGAAAAGAAAGCAAAAGUAACAGCACCAAGUUAACAGAAAAUGCCUGAUGAAAAGGCAGGACCAAGAAUCCACAAAGCAAGGCAGAAAUGAAGAUAUUUAAAGGAAUUCAUUGAUGGGCAAAGAAAAGUAAGAGAACAAGAGGACCACCAGUGAUACUCCUAGUGCAGCAAUAAAGCAGCACAGUGCAGCUCCCUGAACACAAGCAGUUGCCUCCCUUUACCCACAGCUGCCUCUCCUGGUUUUGAACAGCCUCACGCUUCCCUUCGUCUGCCAAGCCAGCAGAAAGAGAAGAAUAAAACUCAAGACUGCCACAAGAAAGGUCACAAUAGCACAUCACCUAAAGAGCUACAGCACCUAUCAGAGUUACUGGUGUGAUCAGAUGAAACCAAGCUGCUGUCGUAGGUUAAGUGAGAACGAACACGCAGCAUAGUCAGCUGCGGCCAAUUAAGCUGGUGCGCAGCAUUCCACCACCAGCGACCAUCCCCCCACAGGUGCGUGGUUGAGCAGCAGCAGCUCCAGGCUCUGAGUGGGGAAGUUUCACCCACAUCCUCCAUACUUAUCCCCGAUUUGUAAGGCUUGACAGUAAUUAUAAAACUUGACACAACUCUGUGAGAGUUCUGGGAAGGUCUUGGCAGUGCUGCAAGGCAGACACCAGCCCUGGCUAGGCAGGCAUUGAUUCUGGAGAAAGAGCAUGUGUGCCACUACUAAAGCCUGCGUCUUUCUUAAUGUGUGAGUUGGUGUCUCAGUAGCAAGAAGAAAAGGUAAAUGUACAAGAAAGGUAAGCACAAGAGAGAGAAAUCUUGCCCGAGUAACAGAGCCUGGUUCGUUUAGCAGCUGAAAGAAACUCCACUGCGAGCCUGCCUAAGAGACAACUCGCCUUCUUAAGGAGCACCCUUACCUAAAUCCUCCCGAAUUUGUUACUAAACACUUGCUACUACUCCCCACAAGUCAUAGUAAAAAUCAGGGCUGAGAGCAACUUUAACAGUUCAGCUAGGUACAAAAACGCAGGCAGCUCACUAGCCUUCCACAGAGAUUCAGAUUAUUCUGCUGUCUAAAUGAGCACAUUCUGGCAACUCUGCCUCAGCCCUCUUCACGUAAAGGUCAGCAUUUAGUGUCAGUAACCCACCCUGAAAAGCAACAGACAAACCUGAGAUGAUCUCCGAUGAAACGCAGGCCAAAUUUCCAGGCAGAAGGGUCACUGCAGCCGCUCUGGAAACCAUCUUACUGCCGGGGCAGAGGGAGACGAUGUGGAGAAAAAGCCCUCCUCGUGCCUCAGCCGCUCCCUUUUGUAAUCUCCAUUAUGGCUUUCAGGUGUGCGGGUCCCGUGCUGAAGGAACAGCUUUGAGCCCUCCAUUAGCUAGGACACACCUGUUAACAAUCCUGACCCCUUGUCUCCAAACAAACAUGUUUGAACUCCUUCUGAACUCUUCUAUUUUGCAAAACUAAAGAACUGACACUUAGUAGCUCUGCUUCUGCUCUGCAUGUACACUCUGCUACCUGGCUGCUAACCCUCUCCCUGUCUUGAGCUCAUACUUGUUUAAAUAAAGCAAUUUAAAUAGAAAUGAGUUUUCAACAGAUGUAAGCAUUUCAUUAGAAUUAUCUGUUGCCAUUUUCAAAGCACAUAAAAAGUAACUGACAACAGAAAAGUCUCUAAAGCCUAUUUUAUAGAGGGAAAAAGAAAUAAAACACGGUCUGGUGGGAGAUAACUUAAAACUUUUCCUUCUUUCCACCCUGUCCUUUUUAUUCUCAGCUUUAGCUUUGAUAUGUCAGUGUAAUAAUAUUUUUGUGUAAUGCUACUCUGAGAGGGGAGUGCCUUAAGAACCAAAAUUUUAAAGAGAUGGAUGUGGUGUCCUACAGGAGCAUCAACAACUGCAACCGAGCUGAAAGCUUUGUGUUCUUGCCAUGGAGGAAAUCAUGGUGGAAACCAUCCUGGCCCCUUGGGAAAUACUCCUGGUCAUUUUUGCUACAGUGCUAGUAAUGAGUUUUCUCAUGUUUCUGCCCCCUGCUGCCUUGGUGAGCUGGAGGAUGAAGCGUGAACCACAAAUCUCACUGCAUGGCUCAGUGUGAAGCAGCCCUGGCACAGCUGUAGCACCACUUAUCUUUUCAAAGGGUGAUUCAGAAUGACAGUGUGGCUAAGGAGCACUCUUACUGCCUAGGAUCUGUGCAAAAGCAAUGGGUUUCCCAGCCUAUUGCUGCAAAGUUCCUGUGGAAAGAGCAUGUGUAUAAUUUUGUCUUCAUGUACUACAGUUCUCAGGACGUUGCCCUCCAUAUUUUUGUCUAUGCUGUAAUUACUAUUGUUGGCUUAGUUGGUAGGCAGACUUCUUCUCCUGCAUUAAAAUGGCCUGAAAGCAAGACUGAAAGAGAAGCAAUCAUAACACAGCAUUGUAUUCCCUUAGCUAAAGUCAGAAAGUCUCCAUUUAGAGACUGUAAAAAUCAGCAAAGCCCUUAGAUGAGAUGAGUGACAGUUAUGCAGGUUGACAUAGGUGGCAUUAGUGGUUUAGUCUGGUUGUAAAGUGAAAAGCCAACAACAAAA